AACGAACGCUGGCGGCAGGCUUAACACAUGCAAGUCGAGCGCCCCGCCAGGGGAGCGGCUGACGGGUGAGUAACGCGUGGGAACGUACCUUUUGGUUCGGAACAACUCCGGGAAACUGGAGCUAAUACCGGAUAAGCCCUAACGGGGAAAGAUUUAUCGCCGAACGAUCGGCCCGCGUCUGAUUAGCUAGUUGGUGAGGUAACGGCUCACCAAGGCGACGACCAGUAGCUGGUCUGAGAGGAUGAUCUGCCACACUGGGACUGAGACACGGCCCAGACUCCUACGGGAGGCAGCAGUGGGGAAUAGUGGACAAUGGGCGCAAGCCUGAUCCAGCCAUGCCGCGUGAGUGAUGAAGGCCUUAGGGUUGUAAAGCGCUUUUGUCCGGGAAGAUAAUGACUGUACCGGAAGAAUAAGCCCCGGCUAACUUCGUG
rnacentral:rRNA from 1 species